rnacentral:rRNA from 1 species
CGAUGAAGGACGUGAUAAGCUGCGAUAAGCUUCGGGGAGUUGCACGUAAACUUUGAUCCGAAGAUUUCCGAAUGAGGAAACUCACUUAGAGUAAUGUCUAAGUAUCAUUAAGUGAAUACAUAGCUUAAUGAGGGGAACUCAGGGAACUGAAACAUCUAAGUACCUGAAGGAAGAGAAAGAAAUUCGAUUCCGUAAGUAGCGGCGAGCGAACGCGGAUUAGCCCAAACCAAUAAAGUUUUCUUUAUUGGGGUUGCGGACAUAUCAUAACGAAGAGGUAUCGUAAUUGAAGAGGUUUGGAAAGACCCACCACAGAAGGUAAUAGUCCUGUAUGUUAAACGAGAAGACUUCAGAUAUGAUCCAGAGUACCACGGGACACGUGAAACCCUGUGGGAAGCAGGAGGGACCACCCUCCAAGGCUAAAUACUACCUAGUGACCGAUAGCGUAUAGUACCGUGAGGGAAAGGUGAAAAGAACCCCGGGAGGGGAGUGAAAUAGAACCUGAAACCCUGCACUUACAAGCUGUGGAAGCACAUUUCUUGUGUGACCGCGUACUUUUUGUAGAACGGGCCAACGAGUUACGUUAAGUAGCAAGGUUAAGCACUUAAGGUGCGGAGCCGUAGCGAAAGCGAGUUUUAACUGAGCGUUCAGUUACUUGACGUAGACCCGAAACCGGGCGACCUACCCAUGAGCAGGAUGAAGCGAAAGUAAAAUUUCGUGGAGGUCCGAACCCACGAGCGUUGAAAAGCUCGGGGAUGACUUGUGGGUAGCGGUGAAAUUCCAAUCGAGCCCGGAGAUAGCUGGUUCUCCCCGAAAUAGCUUUAGGGCUAGCCUCAAGGUGAGAGAUACGGAGGUAGAGCACUGAAUGUCCUAGGGGGUAUUGCACCUACCGAAGACUAUCAAACUCCGAAUGCCGUCAUCUUAUACUUGGGAGUCAGACUGUGGGUGAUAAGAUUCAUAGUCGAAAGGGCAACAGCCCAGAUCGUCAGCUAAGGUCCCUAAAUGUAAGUUAAGUGGUAAAGGAUGUGGGAUUGCACAGACAACCAGGAUGUUGGCUUAGAAGCAGCCACUCAUUCAAAGAGUGCGUAAUAGCUCACUGGUCGAGUGAUCCUGCGCCGAAGAUUUCCGGGGCUAAAACUUACUACCGAAGCUACGGCAUCAGUAAUGAUGGGUAGGGGAGCUUCCCAUACGGGUUGAAGCAUGACCGUAAGGACAUGUGGACAGUAUGGGAGUGAGAAUGUUGGCAUGAGUAGCGAGAUGUGGGUGAGAAUCCCACAGGCCGUAAACCCAAGGUUUCCAGGGGAAGGUUCGUCCGCCCUGGGUUAGUCGGGACCUAAGCUGAGGCCGAAAGGCGUAGGUGAUGGACAACAGGUUGAUAUUCCUGUACUACCGAUAACCGUUUGAGAGAAGGGAUGACACAGUAGGAUAAGCUAAGCACACUGUUGGUUAUGUGUGCCCAAGCAUUGAGGCAGUCAAAGUAGGCAAAUCCGCUUUGAUAAUGCUGGGAUGUGAUGGGGAGCGAAAUUUAGUAGCGAAGUAGCUGAUUUCACACUGUCAAGAAAAGUCUCUAUCGAGGUUAAAGGUACCCGUACCGCAAACCGACACAGGUGGGUGAGGAGAGUAUCCUAAGGCCAGCGAGAGAACUGUUGUUAAGGAACUCGGCAAAAUGACCCCGUAACUUAGGGAUAAGGGGUGCCACCAUCAGGUGGCCGCAGAGAAUAGGCCCAAGCGACUGUUUACCAAAAACAUAGGUUUCUGCUAAGUCGCAAGACGAUGUAUAGGAGCUGACGCCUGCCCGGUGCUGGAAGGUUAAGGGGAUCUGUUAGAGCAAUCGAAGCAGUGAACUUAAGCCCCAGUAAACGGCGGCCGUAACUAUAACGGUCCUAAGGUAGCGAAAUUCCUUGUCGGGUAAGUUCCGACCCGCACGAAAGGCGUAACGAUUUGGGCACUGUCUCAACAACAGACUCGGUGAAAUUGUAAUUCCGGUGAAGAUGCCGGAUACCUGCGACAGGACGGAAAGACCCCAUGGAGCUUUACUGUAGCUUGACAUUGGGUCUUGGUACUACAUGUACAGGAUAGGUGGGAGGCUUUGAAACCAGGACGCCAGUUUUGGCGGAGCCAUCCUUGGGAUACCACCCUUGUAGUACUGGGACUCUAACCAUAGGCCAUGAAUCUGGUCUUGGGACACUGUCAGG